rnacentral:rRNA from 1 species
GACGAACGCUGGCGGCGCGCUUAACACAUGCAAGUCGAGCGAUGAAAUUUCGACAGAUCCCUUCGGGGGGAAGAUGAAAUGGAUUAGCGGCGGACGGGUGAGUAACACGUGAGUAACCUGCCUUUGACAUUGGGAUAGCCUCGGGAAACUGGGAUUAAUACCAAAUGACACUAACUGAUCACAUGAUCAAUUAGUCAAAGAAAUUCGGUCAAAGAUGGACUCGCGGCUGAUUAGCUAGUUGGUGAGGUAAAGGCCCACCAAGGCGACGAUCAGUAGCCGGCCUGAGAGGGUGAUCGGCCACAUUGGAACUGAGACACGGUCCAAACUCCUACGGGAGGCAGCAGUGGGGAAUAUUGCACAAUGGGGGAAACCCUGAUGCAGCGACGCCGCGUGAGCGAAGAAGGCCUUCGGGUCGUAAAGCUCUUUUAUGAGGGAAGAUAAUGACGGUACCUCAAGAAAAAGCCCCGGCUAACUACGUG